UGGGGAAUAUUGCACAAUGGAGGGAACUCUGAUGCAGCGACGCCGCGUGAACGAAGAAGGCUUUCGAGUCGUAAAGUUCUUUUAUAUGGGAAGAUAAUGACGGUACCUUAAGAAAAAGCCCCGGCUAACUACGUGCCAGCAGCCGCGGUAAUACGUAGGGGGCUAGCGUUGUCCAGAAUCACUGGGCGUAAAGGGUUCGCAGGCGGAAAUGCAAGUCAGGUGUAAAAGGCAGUAGCUUAACUACUGUAAGCAUUUGAAACUGCAUAUCUUGAGAAGAGUAGAGGUAAAUAGAAUUUUUAGUGUAGCGGUGAAAUGCGUAGAUAUUAAACAGAAUACCGGUGGCGAAGGCGACUUGCUGGGCUCAUUCUGACGCUGAGGAACUAAAGCGUGGGUAGCAAACAGG
rnacentral:rRNA from 1 species